rnacentral:tRNA from 2 species
GCACCCGUAGCUCAAUUGGAUAGAGCAUAUGACUACGGAUCAUAAGGCUGGGGGUUCGACUCCCUCCGGGUGUACCA